rnacentral:rRNA from 1 species
GGACCCGCACAAGUAGUGGAGCAUGUGGUUUAAUUCGAAGAUACGCGCAGAACCUUACCAACACUUGACAUGUUCGUCGCGACUUUAAGAGAUUAGAGUUUUCGGUUCGGCCGGACGAAACACAGGUGCUGCAUGGCUGUCGUCAGCUCGUGUCGUGAGAUGUUGGGUUAAGUCCCGCAACGAGCGCAACCCUCACUUUUUAGUUGCCAUCAUUUAGUUGGGCACUCUGAAAGAACUGCCAGUGAUAAGCUGGAGGAAGGUGGGGAUGACGUCAAGUCCUCAUGGCCCUUACGUGUUGGGCUACACACGUGCUACAAUGGUAUCUACAACAGGAAGCAAGACUGCGAAGUUAAG